GAGGGUGUAGCUCAAGUGGUAAAGUAUAUGCUUAGCAUGCAGGAGGUCCUGGGUUCAAUCCCCAGUACCUCCU
rnacentral:tRNA from 1 species